rnacentral:rRNA from 1 species
ACAUGCAAGUCGAGCGGAGUUUCAAGAAGCUUGCUUUUUGAAACUUAGCGGCGGACGGGUGAGUAACACGUGGGCAACCUGCCCCUUAGACUGGGAUAACUCCGGGAAACCGGAGCUAAUACCGGAUAAUCCCUUUCUCCACCUGGAGAGAGGGUGAAAGAUGGCUUCGGCUAUCACUAAGGGAUGGGCCCGCGGCGCAUUAGCUAGUUGGUAAGGUAACGGCUUACCAAGGCAACGAUGCGUAGCCGACCUGAGAGGGUGAUCGGCCACACUGGGACUGAGACACGGCCCAGACUCCUACGGGAGGCAGCAGUAGGGAAUCUUCCGCAAUGGACGAAAGUCUGACGGAGCAACGCCGCGUGAGUGAGGAAGGCCUUCGGGUCGUAAAGCUCUGUUGUGAGGGAAGAAGCGGUACCGUUCGAAUAGGGCGGUACCUUGACGGUACCUCACCAGAAAGCCACGGCUAACUACGUGCCAGCAGCCGCGGUAAUACGUAGGUGGCAAGCGUUGUCCGGAAUUAUUGGGCGUAAAGCGCGCGCAGGCGGCUUCUUAAGUCUGAUGUGAAAUCUCGGGGCUCAACCCCGAGCGGCCAUUGGAAACUGGGGAGCUUGAGUGCAGAAGAGGAGAGUGGAAUUCCACGUGUAGCGGUGAAAUGCGUAGAGAUGUGGAGGAACACCAGUGGCGAAGGCGACUCUCUGGUCUGUAACUGACGCUGAGGCGCGAAAGCGUGGGGAGCAAACAGGAUUAGAUACCCUGGUAGUCCACGCCGUAAACGAUGAGUGCUAUGUGUUAGGGGUUUCGAUGCCCGUAGUGCCGAAGUUAACACAUUAAGCACUCCGCCUGGGGAGUACGGCCGCAACGCUGAAACUCAAAGAAUUGACGGGGACCC